rnacentral:rRNA from 1 species
AUUGAACGCUGGCGGCAGGCCUAACACAUGCAAGUCGAGCGGAUGAAGGGAUCUUGCUCCUGGAUUCAGCGGCGGACGGGUGAGUAAUGCCUAGGAAUCUGCCUGGUAGUGGGGGAUAACGUCCGGAAACGGGCGCUAAUACCGCAUACGUCCUGAGGGAGAAAGUGGGGGAUCUUCGGACCUCACGCUAUCAGAUGAGCCUAGGUCGGAUUAGCUAGUUGGUGGGGUAAAGGCCUACCAAGGCGACGAUCCGUAACUGGUCUGAGAGGAUGAUCAGUCACACUGGAACUGAGACACGGUCCAGACUCCUACGGGAGGCAGCAGUGGGGAAUAUUGGACAAAGGGCGAAAGCCUGAUCCAGCCAUGCCGCGUGUGUGAAGAAGGUCUUCGGAUUGUAAAGCACUUUAAGUUGGGAGGAAGGGCAGUAAGUUAAUACCUUGCUGUUUUGACGUUACCAACAGAAUAAGCACCGGCUAACUUCGUG